CUAGCCUCAGGUGAUCCACCUGCCUUGGCCUCCCAAGCUGCUGAGAUUAUAGGCGUAGCCACCAAGCCUGGCCUCCACUUCAAAUCUCUAUUGCCUUCUCUCCAGGCCUGGGCCAGACUAGGCCAAGGAGAAGGAAUUCUCACCCAUGACCUCUUCCAACUACUUGAAGCCUUCUGCAGCAUGUCCAGGGCCUCCCAGAAGAAGUCCUUCUGUGCAGCCAUCAGGGGCAUCCACCCUACGAUCUCCUUCAUCUUCUCCAUGCGGUCCUGCAACGUGUGGCAACUGUGGAUCUGGCUAAGGUCAUGGAGUGGUGGAAUGUCAUCUUGAAGACCCGCUGCCCGCUAGACUGCAGAUAGACCUCAACACAGUCGCAGGCCCGGCUGCUGGUGGUACCCACCACUUCCUGCUGCUCCCGAGUGGCCAAGACGUACAGGGCCGGACUCCAGAACCCUGAUCUCGGAGGCGCGGACUGAGUCUGCGACAGAUGCGUCUCCACACGCCUUCCGCAUCGCACACUUCGUGGAAGUAGCGGCAGGUCUGGCCGAGGGCGACAAGGUCUCUGACUGGGAGGAAUGAGAUGAUAUGCUCCACCUGGGAGGGAGGAGGGAAGAGACGGGGGGGGUCAUCGGUGGCUCCUUGGUGGUCUGGCCCCCAAUCCUAUUAUUCUCAACCCCCCUCCCCAAGGACUCACCAGCUCUGGGGGGAACAACUGGAUAGAAAUUGGAUUCCCUUUCCCCUUCUUCUCUUCAACCCCAAGCUCCGGGCCACAAGAAGGGCAGCUUCUCUUCACCUACCCGAGAAGGGGUGCAUAGGGUCCCAUGAGGGUCCCACAUCCUUUUUUCGCUUCUCUCUGCCUAUCUUGGGGCUCAUCUGACUCCAGCCAGGUGCAGUCAUGUCCUCCCCUCUCUCUCCAGACCCAUCCCUAACUUCUCCAAAUAACUCCUCCCAAUCUCCUGCGGCCAAUCCCCCUCACCCGGAGCCCCUCCUCCCGUCCACACAGCCUGGUGAAUUUUUGCAGCUUCCGUCUCUGGCUUCUCCUCACCAUCCUGAUUGCCCCCUCCCUGCUUCUGCCCUCCUGUCUCCUAGGCCCUUGGCCCCCCGUUCCUGCUGGCUUUCCCACACCAUGUCCCCUGCCUAGGCUUGGGGGACCUCUGGGGCCCCUCUGCCUCCUAGACCCCUCCCCCAUGGAGUCUGGGGCUAACAAACCUCUCUGUGACCUCACUGUUUGGCCACUGUGACCUGUUCCCUUUAAUCUUGUCCAGGACCCAUCUCUCAGACAGCUCCUGGGUUCUAGCUCAGUUCUAGCCAUCACAUGGCUCAAGGGAUAUGCAUUUUACUGGAGAAAUAAAGUGUGAAUUACUGGUA